rnacentral:lncRNA from 1 species
UUUUUUUUUUUUUUGUCGCACGUUUUUUCUCUCUCUUUUGUUGACGAAGGCCACUUGCAUUCCGGCCUGGAACGUUUUCCAUGGAGAAGCCCAAGUACGCAUAGGAUCUACGAAGCCCUGUCUUUAGUCUGUUCGCUUCUUUUUGGUAGCGGCUGAGACACAGGAGAGCCGGCUGCGGGAGAUCGGCGACGGCGGCGUCGACUGCUGCGGGAGAUCGGCGGCGGCGGCAUUUUCGAAGUAAGAAUCUGCCCUUCCUGUUCGUCCUCUUUCUUUUCUUUUGUUGUUUGUAGAGAUUCGUGUUCUAGGGUCAGAGCUCUUUUUUUUCUUGUCAGAUCCAUAGGAACGCUAUAUGAUUCUGGCAGCUUCGAAUUAGAGAUGUGGGUGGCUGUAUUAUGUAUGUGGAUUUUUUGCGUAGCAAGUAUUUUUUGGGGGUUCACCCAAAUAGGAGAAAUGGACGUGGAGUAGAGUAGGAUUGAGUUUAGUUCAGUUUACUUCAGAGACGUAGCACGUAUUCUUCUCGAAAGUCAUGUUGCCAACACAGGUUUCUUUUUUGUGUGUUUUUCUUGGAUGAAGAUAAAUUUGUAGAGUAUGAUUUCCAACACAGAUUUUGUGUUGUUUUGAAUGUAUGUACUAAAGCAUUCCCAAAGUGUAGAAAGUUGUUUUUUUAGUGCCAUGUCACAUUUUUUACAUUUUUUUGUCCUGGUGGUAAGCCUGAACUAGAAUUUUUUAUUUUUUGAUGCGGAAUGCAGGGGGUGUGAACUGAAAUUUGAUCACAUCUGUUUUUUAUGUAAUGUUGUUUAGAGAUGUAGUUUUAGGUUGAUGGGGAAUGGAGGGGGAAUGUACUUCUCAAAGUACCCUUUUCAGUACACAUGGGUUGUAGUUGUCAUUUUUGUGGUUUAGAUGUAAAUUUAUUGGCAAUCCCUCUUGUCUAUGUUGAUUUCUUCUUCCGAAUGUAGAUGUAGCCCACCUGUGGCGGGCUUUGAGUUAGUGGCGUUGAUCCAUUUUGCGGCUGCUAGUGUAUAGGUUGAUGUUCGUCUGGUCUGCCCUAUUUUUUAUGUAGAUGUCUUGUUUUUCUAGUGCAAUUUUUCUUUGAUGUAGAUGCCUGUUUUGCUCCUUUUUUCUCCUGUUUUGUUUGAUUAUGAUCUGAAUUCCUUCAGUUAAGUAUUAGUUUGUUUGGUCUACACUACUGCACUGUAUUUUUUAGUUGAUUUUUCAUUGCAAUCAAGUAACAGUUUGUUUCGGCUACUAUAGACUGCAAUAGUGAAUGGCCAGUGUAAAUGUAAAUUUUUAUGUUAUUUUUUUAUAGUUAUAUCUCUACUGUAGUUUCAUUCUAUAGUAGUCUGUCUUACACUGGUUUUUCACUGUAAAUGGCCAGUGCAAACGCAAUUUUUUAGGUUUUGAUUCUGGAUUUUGUUUUUUCUUCAGUUAAGCCACAAUUUGUUUGGUGUACUUGGCAUGAAUGUUUUGUGAACUGAAUCAAGACAGAGACUAGGUUUUUCUUGUUCUCCAAAACAUAUAUCCCUUGUUUGCUUUUUCAAUAGAUCAAAAUUAGGUGCUAUCAUGAUUUUUUGAUUGGGUAGUUUAAACAAUGUAAAGAGGACAGUGUGUUGUUAUCCUUUUGAUUCGUGUAGUUUUGUCAGUCUAUGCUUUGUAUUUUUUACAGUAUUGUUAUCAUUGCAAAAUAAUCCGUUGUGUUUUUCUUUUUUGACUUUGUUUGUGAAACCUGAUUGUGGAACUUUUUUUUAUAUGUGAGUUUAUACUAUGCAGGAUGUUGUGCCCAGAUUGCCAUUCGUACUGCGAGAAUGACGAUGAGCAUAGCUUUGGCAUUUUCAUUCGUGACAGUUCUGGAGAUUUUGUGGUAAUCUCUUCUCCUUUUGUUGGAUGUUUCCUUUUCCUUUAUGAAAGGGUUCUUCUUUUUGCUGAUUGUUUUGACAUUUUUCCUUUCUUUUUACUAGCACAACAUCCCAUGCACCGCAAGGAACCAGUUCAACCAGAGGAGUGGCUGGAGUUUAAAGCACACGGCCGUAGGUACGUUGUUUAUGUGUUCAUUGGACACUCAACAACAUUGAUUGGAGGUGAUGUCUGGGCAAAGUUCAAACGCGACUUCAACGUGUGACAGGGCAAAAUAGUGGUGUUCGACAUGUCUGCACGGAUGCCCCAGGCUUAUGUGUGUUAUGUUGGAAGUGGGCUUGCAGCAGAUCACGGGGGCGCAACACAGGACAUGACAGCAGGUGAUGUUGCACAAGGGGGUGGGGGGAAGGGGGGAGCCGGCAAUUUUGCUGUGCAUGGAGUGGAAGAGGUAAACAAUGCUGGUCACGGUGUUGAAGUUGCCCCAGACAUCAUUUAUACCAGGGGUCUUGUUCUCAGCGAUGGCGAAGCACAAAUGUUGGGCCUGGUAAUAACCAUUGAGGAUGGAUACAUUGGACCACAUUAUGUGCACCGCCUCACGCCCACGAACAUCACAAGCAAGUUUAUGGUACAUCUUCUCAAGCUUCAGUACCUUUUUUUUGUUAUGUUUCUUUGCAAAAUAUGUUUUGUUUUUUCCUCUUUUUUCCUAACACAUUUUUCACCUUUUUCCCUUUGUCUUUGUUUUCUAUUUGUUGACAUCACAUAGAAAAUCCCCAAGAAAAUAGUUCAACCACUGAACUUUUCUAGAGAAGGGGUUAUUGGGCUUUGCAUGGUUGUAGGAGAUCUCAUGCAGCUUGGAUAUCACAUGACGGAUGGUCUUCGACAAAGAUUGGGGUGUUUUUGUAGCCCGGAACCACCUCCGGGUGGACGAUGUUGUCAUUUUCAACUCAAGCAGAGCAAUGCAUAGGGCCUCAACAUAACAUGCGUCGUCAUUGAUUUGAGACCGGCACAAGGAUAAGAGUUUUGGUGCUAGAAACAGUGUAAUAGCAUUUCCUAGAGUGGCCCUUUUUGGUGACUUAGGCUAUCCAGCUACCUUCUCUUUUUUAUGUCUUUUUGUUUUUCUGAACUAUGUAAGCAUUUGGAUGUAUGUUUUUCUGAACUAUGUAAGCACUGGGAUGGAUGUUUUUGUGGUAUGAGUGUUUUCCCAUCCACCCCCUAUGCUUUUUGUUGUAUACAAUGGCAUGUGUUGGUAGAAGUUUAUUAUCCUUAAGUUGUUGUUUUUUAUCUUUUUUAGUUGUAGUUACAACCGCUCCACCCCGAGCGCAAUUGCAACUCAGCACACCCUAGCGCAACUGCGGGACAUAUGAUGUGACCGCAACCAUGGGGUCGGGGGAGGGUUGUCGACGUCGAUGAAAACGGUACCAUUUUUAGAGAUGUUUUUUUCUUAGGUUUUUUGUUGUAGUUGCAACCGCUCCAACCCAAGCGCAAUAGCAAGUCAGCACACCCAAACGCAACUACAAGACAUAUAAUUUGAUCGCAACUGGGGGUCGGGGGAAGGGUCGUCGACACCGAUGAAAUUAGUUCCUUUUUCUAUUUUUGUUAGUUUUUUUGUUGUAGUUGCAACCGCUCCAACGCGAGCGCAAUUGCAACUCAGCACACGCAAGCACAACUACAAGGUGUAUAAUGUGACCGCAACCAGGGGGUUGGGGGAAGAGUCGCCGGUGCCGAUGAAAUUGGUUCCAUUUCUUUAUUUUUGUUAGGAUUUUUGUUGUAGUUGCAAAGAAUGAAGAUGUAAUAUUUAUCUUUGUGUAGCGAUAUGUGUGUAGUUUUGUAAUUGCCCGAAUGGCAAGUCCACCAUCAAGUCACAACUAUGGGCCCACAUGCCACUUGCAUCAGGGCUUUUGUGUGUGUAGUUUGCAAUUGCCCCAAUUGCAACUCCACCAUCGACUUGCAUCAGGGCUUUUGUGUGUGUAGUUUGCAAUUGCCCCAAUUGCAACUCCAUCAUCGACUUGCAACUGUGGGCCUGCAUGCCACUUGCAAGUUGACCCUCGAAUUGCAACUGGGGGUUCUUUUAUUUGAUGACACUUGCAAUUUGACCCUCUACUUGUUGCAACUGGGCUUUUUUGUGUGUAGUUUGUAAUUGUCCCAAUUGCAACUCCACCAUUGACUCGCAAUUAUGGGCCUGCAUGCCACUCGCAACUCGACCCUCGACUUGCAAUUGGGGUUGUUUACUCGAUGCCACUUGCAAUUCGACCCUGGACUUGCAACUGGUCUGUUUUUGUGUGUAGUUUUGUAUUUGCCCCAAUUGCAAGUCCACCAUGACUCACAACUAUGGGACCGCAUGCCACUUGCAAGUAGACCAUCGACUUGCAACUGGGCUUUGUGUGUGUGUGUGUAGUUUGUAAUUGCCACAAUUGCAAGUCCACAAUCGACUCGCAACUAUGGGCCUGCAUGCCACUUGCAAGUCAACCCUCGACUUGCAACUAGGCUUUUUGUCUGUAGUUUUGUAAUUGCCCCAGUUACAACUACACAAUCGACUCACAACUAUGGGGCACGCAUGCCACUUGCAACUCGACCCUCGACUUGCAACUGGGGUUGUUUACUCGAUGUCAAUUUCCACUCGACCCUGGACUUGCAACUUAUCUAUUUUUGUGUUUGCCCCAAUUGCAAGUCCACCAUCGACUCGCAACUAUGGGCCCGCAUGCCACUUGCAAAUAGACCAUCGAUUUGCAUUAGGGUUUUGUGUGUGUACUUUGCAAUUGCCUCAAUUGCAAGUCCACCAUCGACUCACAACUAUGGGCCCGCAUGCCAGUUGCAAGUCAACACUCGACUUGCAACUGGGCUUUUUUUGUGUAGUUUUGUAAUUACCCCAGUAUCAAGUUCACCAUCGACUCGCAACUGUUGGGCCCGAAUGCCACUUGCAACUUGACCCUCGACUUGCAACUCAGUUGUUUACUCGAUGCCAAUUGCAACUCGACCCUCGACUUGCAACUGGUAUGUUUUGUGUGUCGUUUUGUAAUUGCCCCAAUUGCAAGUCCACCAUAGACUCGCAAUUGUGAGCUCACAUGCCACUUGCAAGUAGAUCAUCAACUUGCAGCUGGGUUUUGGUGUGUAAUUUGUAAUUGUCAUAGUUGCAGGUCCACCAUUGACUCGCAAUUGUGGGGGGCGCAUGCCACUUGCAACUCCACCCUCGACUUGCAACUAGGGUCGUUGUUUACUGCAAGAGAUAAUAAACAUGUUUGGUUACUCAUGUUUGGUAUUAUUUCUUGUUCUUUGUUUCACAAUAGUUGCAAUUAGAUCCUCGACCUGCAACUAGGGUUUUCUAUCAGCCCGGUUGCAAGUCCACCAUCGACCUGCAACUCGAGGGAGGGUGUUGUUUGUUGUUUUUUUUUGACCAUAGUCACAAGUUCACACCUGACUUGCAAAUCGAGGGAUGUAGUUUGGUAAUCGCCCCUAGUUGCAAGUCAACAAUUUACUCGCCCCUAGUUCACACCUGACUUGCAAAUCGAGGGAUGUAGUUUCCCUAGUUGCAAGUCCACCCUCGACGCGCAACUUGGGGAGGGGUGUUGUUUGUUGUUCACUUUUCGUCCAAGUCGCAAGUCCACCCACGACUUGCAACUCGAGGCAUGUAGUUUUGUAGUCGCCCUAGUUGCAAGUCAACCAUGUACACGCAACUCAAAGGGGGUGCAGUUUUCGUAGUUGGUCUAGUUGCAAGUCCACCCUCGAUGCGCAACUCGGGGAGGGGUGUUGUUUGUUGUUUGUUUUUCACCCCAAUCGCAACUCCACCCAUGACUUGCAACCCGAGGGAUGUAGUUUUGUAGUUUCCCAGUUGCAAGUCAACCAUAUACUCGCAACUCGGGGGGUGUAGUUUUUUUAGUUGCCUUAGUUGCGAGUCCACCCACGACUCGCAACUCGCAGGGUGUUGUUUUUUGUUCUUAUUUCGUAGUAGUUGCAAUUAGGUGCAACUAGGGGUUUCUAUCGGCCUAGUAGCAAGUCCACCCUCGAGUCGCAACUCGAGAGAUGUAGUUUUGUAAUCACGCCAGUUGCAAGUCAACCAUAUACUCGCAACUUGGGGGAUGUAGUUUUUGUAGUUUCCCUAGUUGAAAGUCCACCCUCGACUAGGAACUCGGGGGGAGGGGGUGUUGUUUCUUGUUCUUUGUUUCAUAGUAGUUGCAAAUAGACCCUCGACCUGCAACUAGGGUUUCCUAUCGGCCCAGUUGCAAGUUGACCCUCGACCUGCAACUCAAGGGAGGGUGUUGUUUGUUGUUUGUUUUCACCCCUGUCACAAGACCACACCCGAGUUGCAACUCGAGGGAUGUAGUUUGGUAAUCCCUUCAGUUGCAAGUCAACCAUGUACUUGUAACUCGAGGGGAUGUAGUGUUUCUAGUUUCCCAAGUUGCAAGUCCACCCUCAAUGCGCAACUCGGGGCGGGGUGUUGUUUGUUGUUCGUUUUUCGCCCCAGUCGCAAGUCGACUCAUGACUUGCAACUCGAGGGAUGUAGUUUUGUAGUCGCCCCAGUUGCAAGUCAACCAUGUACUCGCAACUCGGGAAGAUGUAGUUUUUAUGGUUGCCCUAGUUGCAAGUCCACCCUCGACGUGCAGCUCGAGGAGGGGUGUUGUUUGUUGUUUGUUUGUCGUCCCAGUCGCAAGUCCACCCACAAGUUGCAACUCAAGGGGUGUAGUUUUGUAGUCGCCCCAGUUGCAAGUCAACCAUAUACUCGCAAAUCGGGGAUGUAGUUUUUGUAGUUGCCCUAGUUGUGAGUCCACCCUCGACUCGCAACUCGGGGGGUGUUCUUUUUUGUUCUUAUUUCAUAGUAAUUGCAAUUAGACCCUCGGCCUACAACUAGGGGUUUAUAUCAGCCUAGUUGCAAGUCUACCCUCAAGUCAAACCAUAUACACUCGAGGGAUGCAGUUUUGUAAUCGCCCCAGUUAGUAAACCAUAUACUCGCAACUCAGGGAUGUAGUUUUUGUAGUUGCCUAGUUGCAAGUCCAUCCUCGACUCGCAACUCGGGGGGUGUUGUUUCUUGUUCUUUAUUUCAUGGUAGUUGCAAUUAGACCCUCGACCUGCAACUAGGGUUUUCUAUUGGCCCAGUUGCAAGUCCACCCUCGACCCGCAACUCGGGGGAGGGUGUUGUUUGUUGUUUGUUUUCACCCCAGUCGCAAGUCCACACCCGACUUGCAACUCGAGGGAUGUAGUUUGGUAAUCGUCCCUGUUGCAAGUCAACCAUGUAGUCGCAACUUGGGGGAUGUAGUUUUUGUAGUUGCCCUAAUUGCAAGUUCACCCCUCGACUCGCAACUUGGGGGACGGUGUUGUUUGUUGUUUUUUUUCACCCCCAGUCGCAUUUCCACCCCUGACUUGCAACUUUGAGGGAUGUAGUUUUGUAAUCGCGCUAGUUGCAAUCAACAAUGUGCUCGCAACUUGGGGAUGUAGUUGCCCCAGUUGCAAGUUCACCCUCGAUUUGCAUCUCGGGGUGUUGUUUUUUUGUUAUUUUUUCAUGGCAGUUGCAUUUUAGACCCUCGACCUAUAACUAGGGGUUUCUGUCGGCCCAGUUGCAAGGCAGCAAUCAACUCGCAACUGUGGGCCCACAAUUUUUUCUGUUUCCUACCACUUGCAAGUCAAGCAUCAUUUUCACAAUUUUUUUUGUUUUGCGAUCUUGUAGUCACCCAAGUUUGCAAGUUCAGCAUUUCUUUUGACUUGCAACUAUGGGACCGCAGUUUUUCUCACAACUGUGGGAACCAUAGUUCUUUGUUUCAUGCCUUUUUUUGCAUCUCGUACUCACCGAAAAUAACAAGUCAGACAUGCUUUGUCUAUGUUUUUAGACUAAACAUAGGGUCCUGCACUGAACUUCCCUUUUAAAACCUUUUAUGGGGUUUUCUAGAACAUUUCCAGAACUACAACAGAUCUCCAAUGAUUAUCCACACCGACACAUUUAUUUUUGCAUUUUUUUUUCUCCCACUGUUUGAAUCGGUGGAGCAGAGGAGGAAGAGACGGGUGCGACAAGCUCGAAGGCUAUGGCGACCGAGAUGGCCGCCGAUGACCCCCCUGCUGUGUACCACUGCUCGAUGCAGGAGGCACCUGCUCUGGACACGGCGGGCGAGCGUUGUGCGGCCGUCGAGGCCUACGGCAUCCACACAGCCGACGACAAGGCACUGUCGGUCUGUCCUGCCGCGAGCUCUGGCGGGCCGACGGAAUCCUCGGUGUGGGCACUGUCUGGGAGUUCUCCACAGCCGAAUCGCCGCAAAGAACAGUGAGUAGCUCCUUUUUCCCCUCCUCUCUCCUAUGGAAUCUGCGUGAUUUCUGCUCGUGGUACAGGCUCAAAAUUACUGCGGCUGUGCCUGUGUUGCCAUACGUUUCGCCCUAGGUAGAUUUUGUAAUUCAGUGGUCUGAUUCAUUAGGGUUGUUGUUGCAUAAGGAUACCAGUCGAGGAUGCACAAAAUAAAUUCAAGGCAAAUAAGGGUUGUCGUCGUAGUUGUUUUUCAGGUUUUUGUGCUCAGUGUAUAUGUUGAGAGAGCAUGCAUCAUGUUUUCAGUUUUCUAAUUGCUCAGAGAGGAUGCAUCAUCUUCAGCGAGCAUGCAUAUCAGUCAAUGUUCAGAGAGAGAUGUAUCAUGUUCAGAGAGUUUGACCCAUCAUCUUCAGUAAUUGUUCAGAGAGACAUGCAUCAUGUUCAGAGAGUUUGACUCAUCAUGUUUAGUAAUUGCUCAGAUUGUCAUCACAUUUUUUUCUGCUAAUCUUGAAUUAUGUAUCAUUGUUUAGGGAGUUGACUCAUCAGUCAAUGUUCAGAGAGGAUGCCUUCAUCAUCAGAGAAAUUUGACUCAUCAACCUUUUUUGUUGAAGUUUUGUUCAUUCAAUCAUAUGAUACCUUUUUAUCAUGCAUUCAUCUUUAGUUUUGAGUUCCAUUGACAAAGAGCGGCGUCAGUUUGUCACUGUACAUGUAAGUUACUGUUUUGUCAUGUUUCAGGUUGUAAGUUCAGAACCCAGAGUGUUUAUUUUUCAGAGGGAGCACACAUUUUUUUUUAGAGUAUGCAAGUUCAGUGUUUCAGUUGUUGGAUUAAGGCUGUUUAUUUUUUUUUCAUUUUUCGAUCUUUUAACUCAAGAGAAUGAACUUGCUUAUUUUUUUGGGGGUUCUGCAGUGAGAGGAAGACCUGUCCUGAAUUUUGCUUCUGAGUAGUAGUCUAGAAUUUUAGUAGUUGAUGUUUUGGUUUCAAUAGUAGUGUAGCUUUCUGGAUGUACACCAUAAAUUAAAAUCUGUUCGCACUAGCUUUUUUUGCUGCUGCUCUUGUUUGGUCUGCGGUUUCAUGUCUCACCAGCACUACAAGAGAUUUUUUAAAUAGGGUUUUCGCUUGUGCUCAUGUCUUUAUUUUUGGUCCAUAUGUUGUGUUUUUCUUUAAAUAGGAGAUUGUACGCAAAGAUACAAAUGAUGACCAUUUGGAGUUAAACACCAAUACCCAACAUCAUGAUUCAGGGAAUGACAACAUAAAUGACCAGCAGGAGCAACAUCUCAGGGUAAUUAUUCACAAGCUACACAAACUGUAGUUGAUCUCCCAGAAACAGAUGCAUCAGACAACAUGUUGUUUAAUGGCUUGAGAACAAUGGAAAUUAUGUUCUGAACCACAACAAGCUACUUUUUUCUCUUUUUUGUUGUCCCCUUUUUUCUUUUUUAUGAUUUUUCUUUGACAUAAACUUUCAGAAGCAAAAAUCUAGACUCUCAAUGUUUUCUCAGAAGCAAAAAUUGCAGAUCUGUCCUGAAUGUUUUACUUUUUAUGAUUUUUCUUUGACAUAAACUUUUUUCCUAGACUUCUUUCAAAACACCUAAAACAAAUAACCCAAAAAGGCCCAUAGGAGGAAGGCCCACAACCCACAAGCCACAACACAAACAAACAACGGACCCAGAACUUACAAAGAAGAAGGAAACAACCAAAUUGGGCUUUCUAUUUGUUUUGUGCAGGAAGAAAGAAAGAAGUCUGCCUCGGUCUGCCAGGGAAUCGGGCUGCGACAAACAGCAGCCACGUCAUCAAUACGUCAUCCGAAUGAGACCAUUUUAUAUCUCAUUCGAAUGAGUUCCAGGCGCUCCCUAUCAUCAAAGGGCCAUGUUCAGUUGUAAUAUAGGAAUAGUUUACUCUUUGGAUCCUAUAUUAAUAUAGAAAUAGAAAAAACAAGGUAUGCCAUUGAAUCAUUUAAUUACUUAAUCAUUUAUGCAUCUUAUAUUACGAAAAAAAUUGCGGGGUGUCAUCUAUUUUUCUAUACAUAUAGACAAAUAUAAAAUCUAUACUCCGUCCGUCCCAUAACAUCGGACAUUUUUGUAAGCUAUACGUUCUACAUUAUGGGAUGAGGUUUUUUAAGUAGCAUUGGCGCCUCUGUAAGAUGAAAGAGAAAUGCACCGUAUUAGGAGUGCAGAACAGCAUAAAGUAACUAUAAUUUCUUAGAAAAAAGGUAGAGUACUAACUACAAUUUCUUCUUCCAUUUCUGCGAAAAUAGCAAAUUUAUACACACUUUCUGAUUCUCAUUGCUCGUUCGAUAUUACUAUGUUUACUUCGAAAUUACCAUUGACAAGAGCAAAAUAGUAAUCUCGCUAUAUUACAAGGGUCGAAUGACAUUACAUGAACAUUCGUAUCAUUUAGUCGUCGUAAUCAUCGUUAUCCCUGCGGUUGAGGAACCGCCGGACGGCGCCCACGACCGCCCCGCCCACAAUGAACAGGACGAGCGUGUCGAAGCCGCCACCGACCCCGAGGGCGACGCUCGGGCCACCGUAGAAGCCGAACGGCGACAAGCCGUACCCGCCAUAGCCACCGUAGCCGUAGCCGCCGACCAGCGGUGGCGCCACGCCGGGAUUGACGUAGAUGUUCGUCCUGCGAGCACGCGCGCGAGCAUCACAAAACAAAUCAGAAUUGCAUCAGGCUAUUGCUACGUUGGAUCUGGCCAUCUGCAGAUGUUUAAUUGAUGGUUACCUUGAGUUGUUUAUCCUUGGACCGGACGAGCGCGGUGCCGCGGACCGAAACGCCUUCCCACCGAUCCUGCCGCCGGACUUGCCCGCCAUGGCGUCGUCGACGGGCGCGAGUACGAGCACGCCGGCGGCCAUGGCGACCAUCGCCAGCUUCCCGAGAUUUUUCAGCUCGAGGUUUCCGGCCCACGACGGAGGCGCGUCCUUCUGGUCGGAGGCCCUGCAAGAAAGCCUCGCCGAUGCCGGCCUAAUUGACGACCUCGUGAGCUGCGGGGCCGUGCAUAGGGGCCUCCCUGUGAGGAAGCUCUGGAGAGAUGUGGGGGCUAACGCCAUGGCCGUGAUCUCCCACUCGGCUCCUAGCUUGCUUGCUUUGCUUGCUCUUGCUAUGUCUUCUUCUUUCUCUGAGUUCUUGAUUGCUUGCUGCAGUCUGAGAUGGGAAGCGGUGGAAGAAAGGUAAUCUUGUAGCUUCAGGGAUUGCCGCGUUUUGGCUGGAGGAGGAGGAAGGGCAGUAGGAGACUAGAAGGCUUAUCUUGAGAUGAGCAAGAGGCCACUUGGCCGAAUGUGAGCGGCCGGGUGAAACCUCUAGAGAAGAGAUAUCUUUUGAGCGCUUGUUUGUUCCGUAGCACGACUUGUUCUGAACACACAAACAUGCAGCUGUGUUUGGCACACGGUUGAAUCUGGUGCUUUCACAAUUUAGUUUCUCUAGCCAUUCUUUUUACGGUGCAAGAGCUCUGCCCAUUUUUUAAGAGAGGAAAAAGAAAAAAAAAUACAGAGUCGCCAUUUAUGAGGGACCUAAGGGGCUGUUUGGAUGACGCCCGAGCCAGCCCAGCCAAAAUAGGCUCCCCAAGAAUUUGGCCAAGGUUUUCGCCGCCCGGAUCUCGCCAACGCGUGGGCGGAAAAUCUGAACGGGCCGACCGAAAAAUUGGCAUGGUUGCGAUUCAUCGGCGCUGAUCCAAAUGAAGGUUGUGGUAGCAGUCAACGACCGAAAAAUUGGCAGGGCAGGCGACGGCUGCAAUCCAAACAGCCUCUAUAAGCUAAAAAACAUAGAAAAUGAAAAAGACACAAGACAACACAAUAACGGCGAGGAUCCGAGCAAAUAACCUAGCAUGACCUCUACCCGAAUCAACUGAGAGUGAGAUUUUCAAAAGUGCCUUCAAUAUAAGGGAAGCAAUGCCCAAGAACUGACAUCAACCACCGUCAAGCACAAAGCUUUCGCCUAGACACUCACAGGACCGGCCCACCGGACCUCGAGAUAAAUGUUGCCCUGCCAACAUCCACCACCGCAGCUCUAACUCUGAUUGAACACGACCAAUGAUAGCGGGGUACUCUUUGCUAAUGUAUCCAAGGAGGGACCGAAUACCGAUGAGCGCCCUCAUCACCGCUAAUGAGCCCCACCAAACGAAAGCUUUCGCCCCGGAUCUAAUGCUUCACCUCCUUUACAUGCCUAUGGAGGGAGCUCAACCCCGGAGAACCUGUGAGAUCAAGACAUAACUCCGCUCGUACGACCACAUGUUUCCACGAUGGCCUGCCAUGAAGCACCCACAUUGGUCCCAGGGACCGCUGGCUAGGCAAAUCGAGCGCAACCACUCCAGAUCUGCACGGCCCAUCCUCCCCGCUCCGCCGCAUCGGCCGCCCACAUGGCCUAGAGCGCCAGCUACACCGUCUGACCACCUCAAGAUGCCAAGGGCCUAAGCCCAUCGGAUCCAAGCACGAGGUCCCUGAAUCUUCCACCCCGCGACACACAUGCCCCCAUGAUUUCGUAGCUUUUGGAAACAUUGUCUCAACAAUUUUGACACAUGAUUGGGUACAAUCACCAAGGUGGAAUUGAUCAUCAAUCACACUUAGCUCUUCUUCUUGAUUAAAGUGAAAUGUGUCGCUAGUCCACAUCAAACUGAUUGCAUGCUUCAGUCCCUCAACUUGGGAUUUGAUCAAUUCAGGUCGUAAACUCGUUUAUUUGAUCAAAUAAGACCAAAAAAAUUUGAUAGGAAAAAACUGACCACAUGGCUGCCACGUCAGUGUUCCUUCUUUGCCACUCAAGAACUAACUUUUUUUACUAGAAUCUAUUUUGUAAAAUGGAUGAUUUUUCUCUCACAAGCCUGCUAACGGCGCGUGGAGGUAAUUUUUUAAAAGAAACUUACACUGCCGGUGUAAUGUGAGUUAUUUUUCCUCCAUAGCCCGUUAGCAUGGUUUAGGAGGAAAAAAAUCAGCAUGUUUGCAAAUAGACCCCUGCAAAAAACAUUUAGUCCAAAGGAAAGCUGAUGUGGCAGCCCUGUGACCGGCUUCUUCCCUCUCGGAUUGAUUUUGGCCUUAUUUGAUAAUAUCAAUGAGUUUUUUUUGAGGGAAUAACAUCAAUGAGUUUAUGACCUAAGUCGAUCAAUUCCUGAAUUAUUGGCCUAAACGAAAAGGUGCCAUAGCACCCUGGUGCCCCGACACACCCUAAUCCGGUGCGUUGGUGAGUUCAAGAUUCGUGCUGUUGAAUAGUCAGUAGCAGGUCAAUUGCAGUGUCAGGUUAAUUUAGCAGGCAAUUUGCAGAGACAUGCACGACUGAUACUAGGCUAGCUUGCAGUUUAGGCCUGGUACUAGGGUCAGUGUGAAUGGGACAACUCAUAAGGGCAUAUCCAAUAAAUUGUAUGUUAGUCUUGUUGGUAAAUGUCCAUGUCAUCAACCAACAAGCUAUCAUACAACUACUCCAAUAGGUUCUAUCUAAGAUAUUCAAUAGAUGAUGAGAAAAUAAAUAUGAUUGCUCUCUAUUUCACCUUGGAGCUUGUGCAAAGGUUGUUGGUUAUUCUACAUACAACUUUGCUUUCUCUCCACAUUUAUUACAUGCCACAUCAUCUCCAAUAACUUCAUUUUUUAUUUUUCUGAGAAACAUAGAAGUCCUAUUUUGCAUAAACUAUUUUUCUAAAUUUUGUGAACAUUUUCACAUUCGUGAUGAUUUCUUCAAUUAAUGAAAAAUUUAAUUUAAAAAAAUCAAACCCGAGAAAUGUUUUCCAAGCCGUGUUUUUCCAGAUUUAUGACCAUUUUUUAAUCCGUAAACUCUUUACAAAACAAUUAAUAGUUCUUAAAAUUCAUGAUCUAUUUUUGAAUCAAAGAACGCUUUUAAAUUUUGUCACCUUUUAAAAAUUUACAAACUUUUUAUAUAAUUUUGUUAAAAACUUGAAAUUCAUGAACCUUUUCAAUUUUUCUUUUUGUAUUUUAUGAUUGUUUUUCAAUUUUAUGGCCGAUCCAAAGUUUUCAUUUUUUCACCAAUUUUUUGAGCUUAUGUAAUUUUUGAUUGUUGUAAAAUAUUUUUAGUUUCAUGUUUUUCUAUAAGUUAACGGAAUGUGGCUAAUGGUCAAACGUCAACAGGUCAACUUUUUACUUAUGUUUCGCACUUUUUAGGGAGUUUCCAUUUUUAUCAACGUCAAAUCGGGGAAACUUAUUUGGUUCAUAGCUCGAUAGUUACUACUCCCUCCGUUCCAAAAUGCAAGACGUUUUUUGAGACUAUCUUAGUAUAAAAAACGUCUUACAUUUCGGGACAGAGGGGGUAGUUAGCUCUUUCCGCUGCGCUACAUACAAAAUUGGGCCAGCCCAUUAGUUCUUACAGAUUUGGGGGUUUUCGUAUUUUUCAUUUCGGAUUGUUUUUCAUACAUAUUGCGCAUGUUCUUACAUCGGAAGUAUUUUUUAUAUACACAUUACCAUAUAAAAAUACAUGAUUAAAAUUUUCUGAAAAAAUAAAUUUUUAUGUCCAAUUUUGGUAUACAUCAAACAUAAUUUUUAUAUGCACGUUUAACAUUUUACAACUACAUUAUUAAUUUCUUUCAAAACAUAUAUUUGUAUGUCAAUAUUUCCAUACACAUUGUACAUGUUUAAUAUUUUAUAAAUACAUGAUUAAGAUUGUCAAAAACUAAAUUUUUCAUGUAUAUUUUUUCGUUGACAUUGUAUAUUUUGUGCAUACAUCGGAAAAAAAUUGUGUACACUUUUAACAUUUUCAAUAACAUGAUUAACAUUUUUUAUGGUGUAUUGUUUCAAAAUCUAUUUUCUUCAUACACAUUAUAGAAUUUUCGAAUACAUUAGAAACAUUUUUCUAAUAUAUGAUUAACAUUUUUCAUAUUUUUUAUAUAAAAGAAUUUUUAUAAUUGAUAUAUGAAGAAUAUUUUGAAACACCUGCAAUAGUAAAAACAAAAAAACAAAAGGACAAUGCAAAAAUGUGAAGAAAAAACAAAAUAAAAAAAACGGGAAGCCUUGUGGUCCACUCGGAGAGCUAAUUGCUUAGUGACAACCCAAUAUCCUUCUAUGUGAAGCCACACAUAGGCGCGGCCUAGGAGGUCCGAUUUAGGCGGGCACCCCUAUUUCUGGCGUUCAGCGAGACGAGGGCCGGCUCCGCCGCGGGAGCCGCAUCCUAUUUAUUUUUCUGUUUUCUAUUUUCUGUUUUCAUUUUUUAUUUUACUUUUGUACUUUUCUUAUACUUUCAAAUAUAUAUAUAUAUAUAUAUGUGUGUGUGUGUGUGUGUGUGUGUGUGUGUGUGUGUGUGUGCGUGUAUUACAAAAAAACUCUUGAACACACAUUCGAAAAAUUAUUGAAUAAGUAUUAAAAAAUGUUGAACAAAUAUUUGAAAAAUGUUAAACAAGUAUUUAAAAAUGUUGAAUAAGUAUUAAAAAUGAUGAACAAGUAUUUUAAAUUGUUUAAUAGGUAUUAAAAAUGUUGAAUAAGUAUUUGAAAAUGUUGAACAAGAAUUCUAAAAAUGUUGAAUAAUAGUUUAGAAUGUUGAACAGGUAUUUGAAAAAUGUUGAAUAGGUAUUCAAAAAUGUUGAAUGAGCAUAUGAAAAAUGAUGAACAAGUAUUUGACAAUGUUGAACAAGUGUUUGAAAAAAUGUUGAAUAACUAUUAAAGUGUUGAAAAAUUAUUUCAAAAAUGUUGAAUAAGCAUCAGAAAAAUGUUGAACGUGUAUACAAAAAAUGUUGACCACUUGUUCUGAAAAUGUAGAGUGAAAACGAAACCAAACAUAAGAAAAAGCAAAAAAGGAAAGGAAAAAAUGGAGAAGAAAAAAAACCGAAGAAAAAAUUGAGAAGAAAAAAACCAAACAAGAAAUGGAGAAAAAAAUGAAAAACUGGGGGAAAAUCCGAAGAAAACCGUAUCAAAAACAAAAAUAAAACCCCCAAAACCAGUGAAAAAGCCACCUCAAAGCCGCAUCAAGUCUUGUUUAUAGUAAUGAACACCAUAUGUUCAUUGGCUUUCUGACUAGCAGCGCGAUAUAAUAGCUUUUUUUUGAACUUUGGCGACCUUUAUUACACAAUAAUCAUAUCAGAUACAAGGGAGGGAAUUAAGAAAUCAAGGGGAUGCUCUUGCCAGACCUCAUUUAACUACCUUCUAUAACUAGUCCUUGCUAGCCAAUGCGCAACCCCAUUACUCUCCCUAGCACAGUGUACAGUCGUCGCCCUGCCGAAAGAACUCAACACCUAUCGGCAAUCAUCCGUUACCACCGCAGCCGAGGCUCGGUACUCCGAAGGAUUCGUCAUUGCUUGAACUAUCUCCUGUGAGUCGGACUCCACCACCAGAGCAUAAAUACCCAGAUGCUCUGCCAAACGCAGUCCUUUCAAUAGUGCUAACGCUUCCAUAGAGGGAACAUCCAUGGCAUACUGUCGAAAGGAGCAAGAAGCAGCAAUAAACGCUCCUGAGCUAUCUCGUAAGACAGCUCCAGUUGCUCCCGCUCCCUCAUCCACUUGAUAGCUCGCGUCAACGUUUAGUUUAAUCACCCCUUUUGCUGGUCUCACCCAUCUAAUCUGUUUCGUGGGCUCCUUUGCCUUUGCAGCCAGAGAGUUUGCCACGAUUGCCCGAAUGCUCAUAGCUGAGCGAACCGGGCUAUCAACCUUCUCCUGGUGACUGAUCUUCCAACGAUCCCACCAUAAGUACCAUCCAGUCACCAUAACUGUCUCCACACCAUUAUCAAUUGGUAGUUUUACCUCUCCUGGUAGCUCAGAGCAGAGGAGUGUCUCCAGGAUUACCGACACCGACCGCUCAUGGGCUGCUGCAUUCGCGAUCGAUGUUUCCAGCCCCAGCUCCUUCCACACGGCCUUGGCUCUUUCGCACGCAAACAACAUAUGUCGCAGAUCCUCAGGCUCAUUGCCGCAUACUGGACAAAUCACCGGAGUAGAUAGGUGCCGAUCUGACAGCGUGCAAUAGCAUGGUACAAUCCCAUGUAGCACUCUCCAGUUAAACACAUUUACCUUAGGGGGCACUGACCUGCCCCAAAGGACUUUCCAAACCGGGUGCGGAUCCACUCUUCCUGCUCCAACAUUCAUCCGAGCCCGUGUUCUGUACACAGAUUUCCAAGUGAUGUGAUAAGCAGACCGGACCGUGAAACAUCCCGACUUAGAAAACUGCCAUGAAAUAAAAUCAGACUGACCAUGAGAUGAUAGUGGUAUCUGCAAAAUUCUUUCAGCAUCCACUGGCCAAAAAAUUUCCCUUACUAAUUGUUCAUCCCAGCUUCCGGAUAUUGGAUCAACCAGUUCUUGUACUUUCUGUAACAAGCAAUGCCCCCUUGGGGUCAUAACCCUCCGAUCAUGGCUUGUGGAAAUCCACUGAUCCUUCCAAAUGUCAAUGGAUGCACCAUCCCCAACCCGCCAGAUCGCCCCUUCCCUGAAGGUUUUCAUACCUGCCAUGAUACUUUGCCAUGUAAAGGAAGCACCUUUUUUCAGAGUAGUAUUCAUCAAAUCCCCAUCAGGGUAAUACUUUGCUCGUAGGACUUGAGCACAUAACGAAUCCUGAUCAGAUAAUAACCGCCAACAUUGCUUUGCUAGCAUGGCUCUAUUGAAACAGUAUAGAUCUCUGAAUCCCAUGCCUCCUUCAUUUUUCGGGAUACACAUCUUCCACCACGCUUUCCAGUGUACUUUCUUCUUGUUCUGAGUGUCUCCCCACCAAUAUCUAGCUAUAGCAUCGCAAAUAGCCUUACAAAUAUUUUUGGGGAUAUUAAAAACAGACAUGGCGUAGACUGGGAUCGCCUGCGCCACUGCUUUCAGUAACGUCUCCUUUCCACUGAUCGAGAGUAUCUUUGACAUCCGACUAUCAAUAAGCGCACAUACUCUAUCAACCAGGUACUGAAAACUGUCACUACGGUCGAUUCCAACCUUCGACGGUAGUCCCAAAUACUUAUCAGAAAUAGCCUCUGAAACUAUAUUAAGCUGUGUGCAAACCUCUGCUCGUACCUCCACCAAAGUGUUUGGACUGAAAAAGACACUGGAUUUUGCAUCACUUACCAGUUGACCCGAGCUAGCACAGUACAAGUCCAGCGCAUUCUUGAGUGACGUGGCAUUCAAUGUAUCCGCCCUCAUCAGGAUCAGGGAAUCAUCAGCAAAUAACAAGUGUGAAACUGAUGGUGCACUACGGCACACCCUAAUUCCUUGGAUACCACCGACCGCCUCUUCAUGCGCUAGUAGACUGGAUAACCCUUCAGCACAUAUCAAGAAUAGGUAAGGAGACAACGGGUCCCCUUGCCUGAGCCCCCUGGAUGGGGUAAACGCCUCUGUUUCAUCCGAGUUGAACCAAAUCCUGUAAUUAACCGAUGUAACGCAUGCCAUAAUCAUCUCCACCCAUGAGGUGUCAAACCCCAACUUGAUCAUCAUAUCCCUGAGGAAAUUCCACUCGACUCGAUCAUAGGCUUUGUGCAUAUCAAGCUUCACCGCACACAAGCCAGUGUUCCCUUGCCUCUUCUUCUUAAUGGCAUGGAAACACUCAUAAGCCACUAACACAUUGUCAGUAAUAAGUCUACCCGGCACAAAGGCGCUCUGGGUCUGAGAUAUAAUAUCUGGUAAUAACACUUUCAGUCUAUUGGCUAAGACUUUAGAGAUUACCUUAUAGACGACAUUACAUAAGCUUAUUGGCCUGAACUGUGAGAUAAGUUCAGGGCUUUCCACCUUUGGAAUUAGCACCACCGAUGUUUCAUUCCAACCAUGUGGGACGAUUUUGUUAUUCAGUGCAUCCAAUACAGCAUCUGUUACCUGAUCGCCCACGAUUGGCCAAAACUUCUUGUAAAAAAUUGCAUGCAACCCGUCUGUUCCCGGAGCCUUAAAAUCACCAAUGCUAAACAUUGCUUUUCUCACCUCCUCUGCUGUGUACGGCUUCAACAAGGAGUCAUUCAUGGCCCGAGUCACUUUGGGUUGGACUCUACUGAGUAACGUUUCAUCAGUACCAAGUACCUCUGAUGUAAAAAGAUUGGAGAAGAUUGUAUCAGCGGCUUCAUCUCCUCGUUGCCCUCCCUGACCACACCAUUCGCAUCCUUAAGCUUUAGAAUGGUAUUUUUCUUCCUUCUAGCUGACGCAUUCUUAUGAAAGAAUUCAGUGUUUCGGUCUCCAUAUUUCAGGAAAUCACUCCGACUCCGCUGCAUGUGGUACACUUCUUCUUGUUCCAGCGCUGUCUCCAACUGCAAUGUUAUUUCAUGCUGCCGACGAGUAGAAAGCUCGUCCAUAGGUCCCGCCAGAAUGCGGUCGAGUUCGCGCGUCAGAUCUUUAAUUUUCUUGCGCGGCCCCUUCAAAAUAUUUCUAUCCCACUCAUGCAACUCAUUAUGAACUGAUUCGAGCUUAGCCAUGAGUGACGUGUUUGGUGGGGAGUGAUCCCACGCAGCUGCCACCAUGUCUCCCACUGCCUCCUCCCUGAGCCAUUUUGCCUCAAACCUUCUCCUUCGUCGUCCCCUCCCAACAGAAGGAGUCGUAUAUGUGGUUGUAUCAAUCAUAAUUGGUCGAUGGUCAGAGCCAUCCAUCGCCAAGUGAUGAACACCAGCAUCUGGGAACAUACUGGACCAUCCCUCAUUCCCAACUGCUCUGUCUAGUCUUUCUCUUGUCCCCCCUCUCUUCCAGGUGAAUCUGUUACCAAUAUAACCAAGAUCUUCCAGCAAGCAAUCGGACAAGCAUUCCCUAAACACCGUAAUAUAUGGCAAGGGUCUUGCAUUCCCUCCCUCUUUCUCUGAAGAGUACAAAAUUUCAUUCAAAUCCCCUAUGACCACCCAAGGCAGGGAACUCUUGGCUUGUAGAUCACGAAACCGUUUCCAUGUACGGUGUUUAUUUCUCCAAACUGGUUCUCCAUACAUACCAGUCAGACGCCAAUCAUGACUGGGAACAUCUCCUCUCACAACAACGUCAAUGAAAUAAUCAUGAAAGUAGUUUAAUUGCAUAUUGAUAUUAUUCUUACACAGCAUCAUCAACCCUCCGCUUCUACCAUUGCUGGGAGAAACAAAUUUACUAUCGUACCCUAGCUUAACUCGCAACCUUUCCCCGCUUGACUCAUCCAGGUGUGUCUCCGAGAGGAAAAGGACAUUUGGAUCAUGCUGCCGUUGAAGUUCUAGCAGCGAUCGAAUUGCCGAGGGCGAUCCUAACCCCCGACAAUUCUAGCUCAAUAUUUUCAUUGUUGGCGGCGGUCACCCUCAAAGGGAGCCGCCGAUCCUGAUUUUUCAUUUUCCAUAUCUGCUGGACCAUCAUCUUUCUUAUACCUCUUCUUCUCUUGCACCUUCGGAGGGGAAGUAUCUGCAGUGCUGCUACUAGCCCGAUGCUCAAUUCUGUCCACCAAAUCAGCUACCUUCUCUCCGUUUGUUAAUAGUAAUUGUUUGGGUGCCUCUGCUGUAACAGCUAGUCUCUUCCUUGGGUGUUUUUCCUCUAUGUCCCCCAUAUUCGCCCCCGUCCGCUCCCUCGGAACGUACCUGGUUCCACUGUUGACAUGGUUAUUUGCGCCCGAGGAGUUGGGAACCUCCUGACCUGAAUGGCCUCCUCGUUCAUUCCUCCCUUCUUGGUUGGUCCGUCCUCCUCUACCUCUCGUAGAGCCAGCUCCUGGGUGCACAACAUACUCCUUCAUAGGUUGAAACCACAUAUCUUCAGGAGCCACCAUCAUGAAGUCUCUGUACUGGAACUUGGAGUAGUCAUGCACACCAUCACCACACUGAUUAGCAAUAUGUCCAAUAGUACCACAGUUUGCACAGAAACGUGGUAGUUUUUCAUACAGCACUCUGAAUAACUGUGCCGGUUUUCCAGCCUCCACAUUCCCCGCGACGAACCUGAGUAGUGGUUUUGCCACUUUGAUCUUGAUUCUUACUCGUACAAACUGUCCAUAUUCAGUUCCAUUCAGACCUAGUUCAACCUCAAGCACUUCCCCCAUCUUUGAUGCCAUGGCCCUUGCCACUGGUUCAUUCCUUAGCAAAUCUGGGAGCCCCAUGAUUCGAGUCCACACCCUGAUCGAGUCCAUAGGAACUGUCUCAGUAUUUGUAAUCCCAUCAUAUUCCUCUAUUAUCACCGCCUGAUGCCUAAAGAGCCAAAGACCCCAUGCAUGGUAGUAUUCCAAUCCCCGAAACACUGAAAUUCGGCAGUGGACGUAUAAUCAUCCAUCGGCUUGAAUUUGACAACCUUCGUGCACACCCACGCCACAUGCAUGGCUGUAUAGAACACCGUGUGGCUGAACGGGGUUUUCGCACAAACCCUAAGGAUCACCGCCCAACGUGAUUCCUGUGUCGGGCGUCCGAUCAAUCCCGAGAUGUCCACUGCAUCAUCUUCCUCCUCCGUGAUCUCCAAGCGCUGCAGUAGUUCAUCCAGUUUUUCUGCCUGACCCGGUGUCCUCAUCUCAGGUGCAUCUUCCUCCGCUCCACGACUUCCCGAUCCAUCCCUUGCUACCGCCGGCGCGGCCAUGACUCCCCUCCUCCCGCAGGGCAAGGGGGAAGGCUCCCAGCAAGACUGCUCCGACGUGGAGAGGCAGGGGCCCGUCUCAAGGUCGGUUUUUAGUGGCUUCCGGCGGGGCGGCCGCCGUACGUAGGAAACCCUAGAUGGCUAGGGUAUGCGCGAUAUAAUAGCUAGUAGACCAGGGUUCGAACCCUGGAGGUCCCCUUUUUUGUUCUGUAUUUAUUAUAAGUGGGCCGGCCCGAUAUCUCGAGACAUCUUUGGUGGGUUAUUGGCACUUGAAGGAGACACCUAGCGGCCGGCCCAACAAUUAUUCAAUCGAAAACGUGACGCUCGGACGAUCAACUCAUCCAUCAAUUUAUCUAAAACAACUGAUCAAUCGAAUGAAGCCUUCUCAAAUCAGUCGUUCGCUCGCUCUCUUUUGGUUGCGUGGUUGAUAGGUUGACCGUCCGACAGUUGACCAUUGAUAUUUAAAAAGUUCAUUAAUUUUGAAAAGAGUUCAUCAAUUUUGAAGAAAAGUUCACAAAACUGAAGAACAUUCAUCAACUUUGGAAAAAGGUUACAAAUUUAGCAAAAGUUCAUCAAUUUUCUUAAACGAUUUUGAAAAAAGUUCACAAACUUUAAAACAAGAGUUCUACAAUUUUGAAAUAAUUUCAUGGAUUAGAAAAAAAAAUCACGGGUUUUGGAAAUAAGUGAACAAAAAUUGAAAACAGUGUGCGGAUUUAGAAAAUGUUCAUCUUUUUAUGAAAUGAUUCUUUGAAAAAUGGCGUCAAUGGAUCCAAAGUUUUGUUACUGGAGGCAGUGUGACUGUCAACAUCAAUGAUGAUGUGGGUCGUUACUUCAGGCGAAGAAAGAUUGCGUCAAGGUGAUCCUGUUUGUCGUUGCAGACAUGUCGUCUAUUCUGAUUGAUCGCAGCAAGCAGGAUGGUCAGACUACAGGAGUAGUACCAUACCUUCUGGAUGGCGGGCUCUCUGUUCCUCGAUAUGCCGAUGAUACAAUUCUUUUUAUAAAACACGACUUGGACAAGACUCAAAAUUUGAAACUCUAAUUUUCAGCAUUUGAGAAGAUGCCAGGCCUCAAAAUUAGCUUUCAUGAGAGUGGAUUGUUAUGCUUUGGAGACGCCAAUGAGGUGGCACCUGAUUACACUAGCUUGUUUGGUUGUGGAAAGGCCAUUUCCUAAUUAAAUAUUUAGGAAUUCUGAUUCAUAAUUUGUAUCUCACUAAUGCGAAGUGAAAACAUAUAGAGAAGCGCUUAGAGAAAUGGUUGAGCAAAGGCAAGUUGCUCUUUGUUGAAGGACAACUAGUCUUGAUCAAUUCUGUCCUCACAAAUAUGGUUCUAUGUAUAUAUAUUUUCCAACUCUCAAAAGUGGUCUUACAAAGGCUAGAUUAUUUCAGAUUCAGAUUCUUUUGCCAAGGAGACACUGAAUGAAAAGAUACAUACUAGCCAAAUGGAGUAUGGUUUGUAUGCCGAAAGACCAAUGUGGCCUUGACAUUCAUGAUCUGCAGGUGAAGAAUAUUGCCUUACUUAGUAAAUGGGUAUUUAAACUACUUACUAAGGAUGAUGUAUGGCAAAACCUAUUGCGCAAUAAGUAUCUUGGCCAAAAAGUUGUAUCCCAAGCCUAUUGCAAACCUGUUGACUGACAAUUUUGGGAUGGACUAGUGGCUUGUUAAGACCAGCCUCCGAGAACAAUAUCCUGGUUUAUACCACAUUGUUGGUGAUAAGAAUGACACUAUUGUGUAGGUGCUUAGUUAAUCCCCACCAGAUAUUUCUUUCAGGUCGGAUUUUAUUAGCACCUAUCUUAUUUCAUGGCAGAAUCUUCUAUCUCGAUUGAGUCGAUUAACCUGACAUAUAGGCGAGAUGAGUUUCAUUGGAAUCUCACUAUAUCUAGGUAACAAUCGACUCUAUGUAUCGUCCGCUCAUGCAUUUAGAGGUUCCAAUGGAUAAUAAUAAGAAAAUAUAAAAGUCAAAGAUUCCACUAAAAAGUUAAAUCUUCAUGUGGUAUCUUGAGAGGAGAGUUAUGCUAACCAAAGACAGCCUCCCCCAUUUACAAUUGGCAAAGAAAGCAAUAAGUGUGGCUUUUGUACUGACGAUGAGACCACCAAACGUUACUCCCUCUGUUCCAAAAUAUAGCGCGCCCACGCAUUUUGAGGUUUAAUUUUGACUAUAAAUUUAACCAGCGAGACCGACUGCGGCGGGAGCAAAAAUCAUAUAAUUGGAAACUUUUUUUGAAUACGAAUUCACUGGUAUAACUUUUGCUCCCGCCGCAAUUGGUCUCGUCGGUUAAAUUAAGUUGAAGCACGGAAACCGAUGACGCACUAUUUCGGAAUGGAGGGAGUAUUUUUUUUUUCAUAGCAAGUUUGCGCGUUCUACAUGGUCAGGUAGGAUAUAAUUUGUAUCCGUCCACAGGUGUUGUCAAUAUUUUUGGUCAUUGGUUGGACGGUAUUUCAGAUAAGUUCAAAACACUAAUAAAAAUGGGAGUGUAUGUCUUGUUAUGGUCGAUUUGACUACGUAGAAGUGAUUUGAUUUUAUGAAUAUUUUUUGUCCUUUGCUGAUUAUUCUACGCUGUACGCACUCGCUUCAUAUGUGGUCUACCUUACAUCAAACAGAGUUUCAACCGCUACUCAAUGCGGCGUGUAUGCGGUUGAAGAGACAUGUUGCUCAUAUAAUUUGUAUGCACAUAAUGCUACAUUUUAAGUCAAUAAAAACACCAUUUAUCACUACUAGAGAUAUGAGUUUUAGCCAUCAAGGUGAUCGGUUGCUAAAAGUACAAAAUUGGUCGCUGGUGGUCUACUGGUACCAACACUACUUGGUCGCUUCGCGGUGGCUAUAGUCUAGUCGCUAUAGAUAUUGAGCGACCAACAUUGAGAACCCUGGUCACUAAAUGUCAUACCAAUAGCUACCAACCAAAUCUUGACUAAUGGCAUCUAGCGACCAAGGGAGACUUGGUGACUAAUGAUAUCUAGAGACCAUGGACAACUUGGUUGCUAAAAAUGUACAGCCACCAUGUACAUGGUAGUGGCUAGAGAUAUCAAGUGACCAGCCAAGGCUUGGUGACCAAAAGAAUGUAGAGACCAGCUACAUGUUGGAGACUAGACAUCUUUUGUAACCAAAAGAUUGUAAACCUUGGUAACUACAGGCAUGAGAAAGCAACUAUAUCAUAGGUACAAUAUAUUGUCACACGCUGACAUUAACAGUAUGCAAGAAAUCUCAGAAUUUUAGACAUUUGACAAUAAGAAGUUCAUAAUCAACAUUUGUACACUUAAGAUCCAAACAUUACAUGCUAAUCUGAAUUUUGUUUCGCAAGUAGGAAAUACCACUCUAGCAUUUGCAAAGUACAGUACCAUCUUUAGUACUGAUCUGAACAUAUGAUCCAAUCAGUAAACCCCAAUAUGAUCCAAACAUUACAUUUAGCAUUUGUACACUGAAUUUUCUUUAGAUCCAACAUAGUCUACUAGAUGUGCAAGAAAUGCAGAGGCAAUAGUUUUCUCUUCUCGGUCUUUAGCUCGAGUAUUGCUUUCCGCUGCUCCUCCAAGGUCAUCUCCUAUAUAAUGGUGGCCAGAGCACAUGUUAUCUCAUUAACAACAUCAGACAUGAGAAACACCAGAAAGACUGCAAGCAUGCCAACAAACUAAGCUGGAGAAACCAAAUUGCCAGUCACUUGAUCAGCUUUGCCAUAGCUCAGAAGCUCAACAACAUCGACAGGAAGAAAAACUACACACAUACACAGGAAAGUGCGCCACCUACCUACUUUUAAUUUCUACUAUCAGUCUCAGUUAUGAAAGCUCAUUUGUGGAUGAUAACAGGCAUAGAAAUAUGUAGCUAUUUUCUUCAGGUUACAACGCCACCAUUUCUGCAGCCAAAGUUUCAUCUAGUGGCACAACCCUAAAAAUAUCAGCCAAAUCGUCAGAGAUGGCACCACUGAAGAUCAUUCGUUAGAUAUUUUCUGUUAUCUACUCGUAUUUGUUUCACUUUCCUACUGGACUCAAGUCUUAAUCCAGUCAAUCUAAAGGUUAACACAUACACUGAUCAUUUGGGUGGAAUCUGUUUGUUUCUACCCGCAAAAAGAAAGUAUCCAUUUUAACGCUAGACAUAAUGGCGUGGUGUCUCUAAACCACAAUACCAUCAUGUCAGCAGCCAAAGUUUCACCACAAAAAUCUACAAUCAGC